rnacentral:misc_RNA from 1 species
GAUGAAGAACGUAGCGAAAUGCGAUAAGUAAUGUGAAUUGCAGAAUUCAGUGAAUCAUCGAAUCUUUGAACGCACAUUGCGCCCAUCAGUAUUCUGUUGGGCAUGCCUGUCCGAGCGUCAUUUCAACCCUCAGGGCCCGUUCGCGGGAACUGGUGUUGGGGAUCGGCCUCCCCCCGGAGGCCGGCCCCGAAAUGCAGUGGCGGCUCUACCGCGAUCUCCUCUGUGUAGUAGCGAUACCUCGCAGCUGGAUAGUGGUGGUGCCACGUCGUAAAAUCCCAACUUUACCAAGGUUGACCUCGGAUCAGGUAGGAAUACCCGCUGAACUUAAGCAUAUCAAUAAGCGGAGGA